AUUGCGUUUUGAUGGUUUAUGAUCGAUCCAUAAAUAUCGAUUGUUUAAAUCAGCUGUUUCUGGUUAACAAAUGAUUUGAUUUUUGAAGUUUUUCACUACCGAACGGUGCCUCGUGUUCGGUCUGCAAGCACUAAAGUUAAAAGAAAAAUAAAUAAAUCUCAUGCAACGGCUAUUUUAGUUUCCAGAUUAAAACCAGCAUUUAUGCACAUUACACUCUUUUGACCAGUUUCCAACUUGAUAUGACAAAACAAAAACCCUAUAAGCUCGUCAGCCAAGAUGGACGAACUAAAAAAGGGAUAACAGCAGGUAGUCUCGAUGAACUGACUGGUAGAGCUAGACAACUUUUCAGCUUUGGCCCUGAAGUUCCUAUAAUAGUCUUUGAGGAAGAUGGCACCGAAAUCACUAGCAAUGAAUAUCUGCUAUUUCUUGAAAAAUUUACAGUGCUAGUGAUAGUUCCAGAGAUAGGAACUUGUUCACGAUUAAGAAAUGCAACUAAUAACAAUCCAGAAUCGAUAAAUAAGUCUUUCUAAUGAGCACAAACUACCAGGUAGUGAAGAUCAACACAAUAUCCAUGAAGAGCUGACGAUGAGUGAAGAUGUACCUUCUUCUACUGAACAUAAGCAAGAAAAAG